CAGCCGCCGCGGUAAUACGUAGGUGGCAAGCGUUGUCCGGAAUUAUUGGGCGUAAAGGGCUCGCAGGCGGUUUCUUAAGUCUGAUGUGAAAGCCCCCGGCUCAACCGGGGAGGGUCAUUGGAAACUGGGAAGCUUGAGUGCAGAAGAGGAGAGUGGAAUUCCACGUGUAGCGGUGAAAUGCGUGGAGAUGUGGAGGAACACCAGUGGCGAAGGCGACUCUCUGGUCUGUAACUGACGCUGAGGAGCGAAAGCGUGGGGAGCGAACAGGAUUAGAUACCCCCGUAGUCCCUGUCUCUUAUAC
rnacentral:rRNA from 1 species